UUUCACAUCUAGGGUUUCUUUGAUUGUUUUUUCUUUAGUUUCUUAUGUUUUAGGGUUAUGAUGUUUAGGGUUAUGAUGUCCAUCGGAAGUAUUCAAUUGGCAAUAGUGUUGCGGGAGUGGGCGUUAUGAGUACUUGUAUCAGAGGCAUUAAAAAAUUAGUCAAGAUGAUUACCGCUGGGAUUCUUUUCCCUUUCCAAGUUCCCUUGCAUGGUUUAUGGUUUGUGCUUAACAAACACACCCUAGAUGUCUUCUCCUUCCUUCAGUUUUUCCUUCGGUAGUAAAGUCCAAGGUUAUCGCGAAGGAUACGGAAGAGGAAAUGGGUGAGUUUUCUAUUACGUCUCAAGCCGAGUAGUCCAGAACACAUCAGCGAACAUGAUUAUUUGGUUAGAGAAUAAGGCUACCAAAAGAGUUUUAACCAAUAUCAAGGGCAAAUGGCAAUACACAUUUUGGAACUUCCGUACAGGGUUAUUUUGCAUCAAUAUCAAGGGAAAAACAAGAAAGCCAAUAUCAAGGGCAAUACCAAAUUUGGCAUUAAGCUGUAAGCAAAGAUGUAUUAUGUUACCGACGGUGUUAUCUUACAAAUUUUGUAGAUUGAUAUCGUUUGUAUGGUCAUAAGAAGGGACACCUUAAAUGUCCAACGGUUAAUUAGCUUACAUACACAACUGUAUAGCCUUUCACUUCCAUGCCCCUGCCUGCUAAAUCGAGCAGACUGAAUUCAUUGACCUGGAGUUGAGUGACAGUUGAAGAGUGGUGGAGAAAUGAAAAGUUUAAUCGGGACAUUGACUCAUUGGUGGUGCGUCACAUUUCUUCCCAAUUUAUGUCUUAGCUGGAACACACAGAAAUUUUACGAUUGGAUCUAAGGCUUCAGUGAGUGAAGACUUUGCAGAACUCAUAGAAAUUUUACGGUCUUAGCUGGUCUUUAUAAAAAGGCGUUAGUCAAAGUAAACCCAUUAUUAUGGGUUUGUACUGUUUUUCAGUAUUUUUCAAUUUAAUUUUUGCUGUUAUGUUAUUUUGCAUGUAUCUAAAAUAUCCUUAUUAAAUAUG